rnacentral:lncRNA from 1 species
AAUGGCACUCACUCCAGUAAUCUUGCCUGGAAAAUCCCAUGGACAGAAGAGCCUCAUGCGCUACAUUCCAUGAGUCACAAAGAGUCGGACACAACUGAGUGACUAACUACACACUAUACUAACUGAUGUGUGUGUGUGUGAAGGCACACAAAUUAUAUAUUAAACUAACUUAGUCCUCUCAACUACAUUUUGAAGUAAGUAUUAUCAUUUUACAGAUGGGGAAAUCAAGGCUCACCUUCUUCCCUGUAAGGCCGUGCCACAUGAAAAUUCUGGAGCUGCCACUGGGAGAGAUGUGGGAUGAAUUUGUCUUUUGUGAUGUGCUCUGUGGUCCGCUCAUUCCCUCAACCUUAAUCCCUUUCUCAACUUCUCUUUUGUACAGCUGAGCCUUCUUCAACCAGGGCCAUUCCAAGUACAAAGUCACGCAGUAUUGGGCCUGCUGUUUCUACACCACCACGAGGUUAUACUUCCAGAGAACCUGUUGCAACACAGCGUACAGAGACCACUGUCACUUGGGAUUCACCAGGUUAUACUUCCAGAGAACCUGUUGCAACACAGCGUACAGAGACCACUGUCACUUGGGAUUCACCAGGUAAGUUACCAACCAAAGGAGAUGGGUAAUAGAUUUCCAGCCAUUAGCAUCAUAUCUGUGUAUUUAAUAAGCACCUAUC